GGUAUUGGAUGGGGGAUGCGUCUGAUUAGCUUGUUGGCGGGGUAAAGGCCCCACCAAGGCAACGAUCAGUAGGGGUUCUGAGAGGAAGGUCCCCCACAUUGGAACUGAGACACGGUCCAAACUCCUACGGGAGGCAGCAGUGAGGAAUAUUGGUCAAUGGGCGAGAGCCUGAACCAGCCAAGUAGCGUGCAGGAUGACGGCCCUAUGGGUUGUAAACUGCUUUUAUAUGGGAAUAAAGUGAGGGGACGUGUCCCUUAUUGCAUGUACCAUACGAAUAAGGACCGGCUAAUUCCGUGCCAGCAGCCGCGGUAAAU
rnacentral:rRNA from 1 species